CACUUUGUCUUUAUGGCAAAUGUGAGAUGCAGUGUAUGGAAUGUCAAAUUUCUAGUAUGAGAAAUUAACGAUUUAAGUCCUUCUUAAAUGAGGCCAUUUACCCAUAGAGGGUGCCAGGCCCGUAUAACGUUAAUGAUUACUAGAUGAUGUUUCCAAAGAGUCGUGUUGCUUGAUAGUGCAGCACUAAGUGGGUGGUAAACUCCAUCUAAAACUAAAUACAACCAUGAGACCGAUAGUAAACAAGUACCGUGAGGGAAAGUUGAAAAGAACUCUGAAUAGAGAGUUAAAUAGUACGUGAAACUGCUUAGAGGUUAAGCCCGAUGAACCUGAAUAUCCAUUAUAGAAAAUUCAUCAUUAUGAUUUUUAAUAUUGAUCCAUCAAUAUUAUAAUUAAUAGUGUGCAUUUUUUCUAUAUAGGACAUUGUAAUCUAUUGACAUAAUUAUAAAUUUAUCAUAAGAUCAAUUGCUAAAGUUUAUUUGGAUUAUUUUGCUUGCAAUUUAACAUAAAAUAAAUGCUUUUGAUUUGAUAAAGUGUCGAUAGAUUUGGUAUAUAUAGUGCUUGAAUAUAUUUUUUAUAUUCUAUAAUAGCAUAUUAAUUAUUAAUUUUUAUGGUUAUUUUAUGCACUUAUAUGAUUAACAAUGCGAAAGAUUCAGGAUACCUUCGGGACCCGUCUUGAAACACGGACCAAGGAGUCUAACAUAUUUGCAAGUUAUUGGGAAUAAAAACCUAAUAGCGUAAUUAACAUAUCUUAUAUAUGGGAUUAGUUUUUAGCCUAUUUUUUAUAGUCUAUUAAUUCAAUCCCGGGGCGUUCUAUAUAGUUAUGUAUAAUAAUAUUUAUAUUAUUUAUACCUCUAACUAGAGCGUACCUUGAGCAUAUAUGCUGUGACCCGAAAGAUGGUGAACUAUACUUGAUCAGGUUGAAGUCAGGGGAAACCCUGAUGGAAGACCGAAACAGUUCUGACGUGCAAAUCGAUUGUCAGAAUUGCAGUAUAGG
rnacentral:rRNA from 1 species